rnacentral:rRNA from 1 species
UUAGCGAAGUUCCUGAUGUCACACUGCCAAGAAAAGCUUCUAGUGAGAAAGUAACUGCCCGUACCGCAAACCGACACGGGUAGUUGAGGAGAGAAUCCUAAGGUGUGCGAGAGAACUCUCGUUAAGGAACUCGGCAAAAUGACCCCGUAACUUCGGGAGAAGGGGUGCUGACCGCAAGGUCAGCCGCAGUGAAUAGGCCCAAGCGACUGUUUAUCAAAAACACAGGUCUCUGCAAAACCGAAAGAUGACGUAUAGGGGCUGACGCCUGCCCGGUGCUGGAAGGUUAAGAGGAGAGGUUAGCGCAAGCGAAGCUUUGAAUUGAAGCCCCAGUAAACGGCGGCCGUAACCAUAACGGUCCUAAGGUAGCGAAAUUCCUUGUCGGGUAAGUUCCGACCCGCACGAAAGGCGUAACGAUUUGGGCACUGUCUCAACGAGAGACUCGGUGAAAUUAUAGUACCAGUGAAGAUGCUGGUUACCCGCGACAGGACGGAAAGACCCCAUGGAGCUUUACUGCAGUUUGAUAUUGCGUGUUUGUAUCACAUGUACAGGAUAGGUAGGAGCCGAAGAUACCGGGACGCCAGUCUCGGAGGAGGCAACGGUGGGAUACUACCCUUGUGGUAUGACCACUCUAACCCGCUGCUCUUAGCGAGCAGGGAGACAGUGUCAGACGGGCAGUUUGACUGGGGCGGUCGCCCCCAAAAAUGUAACGGAGGCGCCCAAAGGUUCCCUCAGAAUGGUUAGAAAUCAUUCGUAGAGUGUAAAGGCAGAAGGGAGCUUGACUGCGAGACCUACAAGUCGAGCAGGGACGAAAGUCGGGCUUAGUGAUCCGGUGGUUCCGCAUGGAAGGGCCAUCGCUCAACGGAUAAAAGCUACCCUGGGGAUAACAGGCUUAUCUCCCCCAAGAGUUCACAUCGACGGGGAGGUUUGGCACCUCGAUGUCGGCUCAUCGCAUCCUGGGGCUGUAGUCGGUCCCAAGGGUUGGGCUGUUCGCCCAUUAAAGCGGUACGCGAGCUGGGUUCAGAACGUCGUGAGACAGUUCGGUCCCUAUCCGUCGCGGGCGUUGGAAAUUUGAGAGGAGCUGUCCUUAGUACGAGAGGACCGGGAUGGACACACCGCUGGUGUACCAGUUGUUCUGCCAAGAGCAUCGCUGGGUAGCUAUGUGUGGACGGGAUAAACGCUGAAAGCAUCUAAGCGUGAAGCCCC